GCCUGGCUGGCUCAGUCAGUGGAGCAUAUGACUCUAGAUCUCUGGGUUGUGAGUUCGAGCCUCGCGUUGGGUG
rnacentral:tRNA from 1 species